rnacentral:lncRNA from 12 species
AAAGCUCAGAAAUGUGCUGUGCUCAGCAUUUCUGUGCUGAUGCAGCAUCCAUGGUCAAAAAGGCGGGCGGCUGCAGCAGCCGCAGCAGCAGUUGCUCUAGUUGCUCUAGGGGGUGGAAAUCAGAUUGCACCAUUUCUACCUCAUUUGGCAGCAGAAGCACCGAGUCACAAGGAAGAUGAGGUUCUAGUCCAGAAGCAGCUGGGCUAUGUCACUCUAAAGGUGAUCUAUUGCCUUUCCAUUGGGCUGGCUGAAACGCUGCGGACUGCGACCAGUCUCUUAAAAAGAAGAACAAAAAGAGGAAGAAAGACCUUGAGUGGACCCCAGGACAAAGCACUUUGGGCUCGGCAAGAAGGGACGCGCGGGAGCGCUGGCUCCGAACCGGAGUGAUCUCGGGUGCCCAAGAGCGCCCAUCCAGCGUGCGGACCUCUGAGGGUAUUCGGAUUGAAUUUUAUUUAUCUUUUUGGCAUGCUUGAACAGUGACAUUGCUGGAGAGGGGUAGAGUUUGGUUUGGUUUAAUUUUUCCGGGAAAGCGAGCUAAAUGGUGGGAGACCAGGUAGACUUAAGUUGGCUUUCCUGCUCCCCUUCCUCCCCUUCUCGAGACCCGGGUGUCUGAGAAGAGACUGGGAAGCAGAAGGUUUAGAAAAAAGUAGACACAGGAGAUGUUGUCCGGAGGACUAAGGGAAGAGUGGGGCGACGGGUGAGUGGGAACCGGCCAGCUGAAAGAAGAUUUUGAAAAGAAGAGGUUUUUUUUGUUGUUGUUGUUUGUUUUUUUUAAACCCUCUUUGGGCUCACAGGAUGAGUUUUGCUGGGGAGGAGAAUAUGGUUGACUGUCGAUAGAAGCUCUGAGAAAUUGAUGAAGAAUUGAUAGGUCCAUGUACACACAUAAGGAGGCAUCUGGAUUUGUGUGUAAACAGACUUGAGAGGUGGAAGAGGGCAUGGAGGAAGGGGGCUUAAAAUAAUGUCUUAUUAUCCCUUUGGCUUUGGGGACUCUCAUCCUCUGUCCCUCCCCCUUUUUUUGACCCAGGGAUCCAGCUCCAUUAGACACGAGUGACCUUUUAAAUCUACGCCCACCCUUUACCUGGUAAAGCCCGUUGACAGUUUGGGGUGGGGUGGGGUGGGGUGAGGAGGGUGGUAGGGGUGUUUCGAAGACAUAUAUAUUCUCUCUCCUCUCUCUCUCCCCCCUCUCUCCCUCCCUUCUUCCUCUCCUCCCCUCCUCCCCUCUUUCCUCUCUCCUCCCUCUUCCCUCCUCCCUUCUCCCCUCCCCUUCGUCUCCUCCUCCCUCGUUCUCCCCCCAUCACUCUUUCUCUUCCUCCCUCCCACCUCCCUCACUCCCUCCCUCCCUCCCUGCUGCAUUUUGCAUGAGCUAUCUAGGUCAUUAGCAUUUUAG